ACCGAGAUUUCGUUAGUAGCGGCGAGCGAACGCGAAGGAGCCUGUUAGUGAUAAUGACAGAGACAGAGGAACAAGCUGGGAAGCUUGGCGAUACAGGGUGAUAGCCCCGUACUCGAAGUCCAGGUUAUGGUACUAAGCUAACGAUAAGUAGGGCGGGACACGUGAUAUCCUGUUUGAAGAUGGGGGGACCAUCCUCCAAGGCUAAAUACUCCUGAUUGACCGAUAGUGAACCAGUACUGUGAAGGAAAGGCGAAAAGAACCCCGGUGAGGGGAGUGAAAUAGAACCUGAAACCUUGUACGUACAAGCAGUGGGAGCCCUUUAAGGGUGACUGCGUACCUUUUGUAUAAUGGGUCAGCGACUUAUAUUUUGUAGCGAGGUUAACCGAAUAGGGGAGCCGAAGGGAAACCGAGUCUUAACUGGGCGUCUAGUUGCAAGGUAUAGACCCGAAACCCGGUGAUCUAGCCAUGGGCAGGUUGAAGGUUGGGUAACACUAACUGGAGGACCGAACCGACUAAUGUUGAAAAAUUAGCGGAUGACUUGUGGCUGGGGGUGAAAGGCCAAUCAAACCGGGAGAUAGCUGGUUCUCCCCGAAAUCUAUUUAGGUAGAGCCUUGAGCGGACACCUUCGGGGGUAGAGCACUGUUUCGGCUAGGGGUCCAUCCCGGAUUACCAACCCGAUGCAAACUACGAAUACCGAAGAGUGAUACUCAGGAGACACACGGCGGGUGCUAACGUCCGUCGUGGAGAGGGAAACAACCCAGACCGCCAGCUAAGGUCCCAAAGUCUAUAUUAAGUGGGAAACGAAGUGGGAAGGCUUAGACAGCUAGGAUGUUGGCUUAGAAGCAGCCAUCAUUUAAAGAAAGCGUAAUAGCUCACUAGUCGAGUCGGCCUGCGCGGAAGAUGUAACGGGGCUCAAAUAUAGCACCGAAGCUGCGGCAUCAGUAGCAAUACUGUUGGGUAGGGGAGCGUUCUGUAAGCGGAUGAAGGUGAAUCGAGAGGUUUGCUGGACGUAUCAGAAGUGCGAAUGCUGACAUAAGUAACGAUAAAACGGGUGAAAAACCCGUUCGCCGGAAGACCAAGGGUUCCUGUCCAACGUUAAUCGGGGCAGGGUGAGUCGGCCCCUAAGGCGAGGCUGAAAAGCGUAGUCGAUGGGAAACGGGUUAAUAUUCCCGUACUUGGAUAAACUGCGAUGUGGGGACGGAGCAGGUUAGGUUAUCGCACUGUUGGAUAUGUGCGUUUAAGUUGGUAGGUGAGAAGUUUAGGCAAAUCCGGACUUCUAUAACACCGAGAGAUGAUGACGAGGCUCUACGGAGCUGAAGUAACCGAUACCACACUUCCAGGAAAAGCCACUAAGCUUCAGGUUUAUCUAAACCGUACUGAAAACCGACACAGGUGGUCAGGUAGAGAAUACUCAGGCGCUUGAGAGAACUCGGGUGAAGGAACUAGGCAAAAUAGCACCGUAACUUCGGGAGAAGGUGCGCCGGCGUAGAUUGUAGUCCCUUGCGGGCGAAGGUUGAACCGGUCGAAGAUACCAGCUGGCUGCAACUGUUUAUUAAAAACACAGCACUCUGCAAACACGAAAGUGGACGUAUAGGGUGUGAUGCCUGCCCGGUGCUGGAAGGUUAAUUGAUGGUGUAAUCGAAAGAGAAGCUCCUGAUCGAAGCCCCAGUAAACGGCGGCCGUAACUAUAACGGUCCUAAGGUAGCGAAAUUCCUUGUCGGGUAAGUUCCGACCUGCACGAAUGGCAUAAUGAUGGCCAGGCUGUCUCCACCCGAGACUCAGUGAAAUUGAAAUCGCCGUGAAGAUGCGGUGUACCCGCGGCUAGACGGAAAGACCCCGUGAACCUUUACUAUAGCUUGACACUGAACAUUGAAUUUUGAUGUGUAGGAUAGGUGGGAGACUUUGAAGAUGAUACGCCAGUAUUGUUGGAGUCGUCCUUGAAAUACCACCCUUUAACGUUUGAUGUUCUAACGAAGAUUACGAAACGUGGUCUCGGACAGUGUCUGGUGGGUAGUUUGACUGGGGCGGUCUCCUCCCAAAGAGUAACGGAGGAGCACGAAGGUUUGCUAAUGACGGUCGGACAUCGUCAGGUUAGUGCAAUGGUAUAAGCAAGCUUAACUGCGAGACAGACAAGUCGAGCAGGUACGAAAGUAGGUCAUAGUGAUCCGGUGGUUCUGAAUGGAAGGGCCAUCGCUCAACGGAUAAAAGGUACUCCGGGGAUAACAGGCUGAUACCGCCCAAGAGUUCAUAUCGACGGCGGUGUUUGGCACCUCGAUGUCGGCUCAUCGCAUCCUGGGGCUGAAGUAGGUCCCAAGGGUAUGGCUGUUCGCCAUUUAAAGUGGUACGCGAGCUGGGUUUAGAACGUCGUGAGACAGUUCGGUCCCUAUCUGCCGUGGGCGUUGGAGAAUUGAUUGGGGCUGCUCCUAGUACGAGAGGACCGGAGUGGACGCACCACUGGUGUUCCGGUUGUGUCGCCAGACGCAUUGCCGGGUAGCUAAGUGCGGAAGAGAUAAGUGCUGAAAGCAUCUAAGCACGAAACUUGCCCCGAGAUGAGUUCUCCCUGAGACUUAGAGUCUCCUGAAGGAACGUUGAAGACGACGACGUUGAUAGGCCGGGUGUGUAAGCGCAGCGAUGCGUUGAGCUAACCGGUACUAAUGAACCGUGAGGCUUAACCUU
rnacentral:rRNA from 1 species